rnacentral:rRNA from 1 species
AUAAACGCUAGCGGCAGGCCUAACACAUGCAAGUCGAGGGGCAGCGGAAGAAGUAGCUUGCUACUUCUGCCGGCGACCGGCGCACGGGUGCGUAACGCGUAUGCAACCUACCUUUAACAGGGGGAUAAUCCGAAGAAAUUUGGUCUAAUACCCCAUAAUAUUUCAGAAGGCAUCUUUUGAGGUUGAAAACUCCGGUGGUUAAAGAUGGGCAUGCGUUGUAUUAGCUAGAUGGUGAGGUAACGGCUCACCAUUGCGAUGAUACAUAGGGGGACUGAGAGGUUUUCCCCCCACACUGGUACUGAGACACGGACCAGACUCCUACGGGAGGCAGCAGUGAGGAAUAUUGGUCAAUGGACGCAAGUCUGAACCAGCCAUGCCGCGUGCAGGAUGAAGGUGCUAUGCAUUGUAAACUGCUUUUGUACGAGGGUAAAUUCAGAUACGUGUAUCUGUUUGAAAGUAUCGUACGAAUAAGGAUCGGCUAACUCCGUGCCAGCAGCCGCGGUAAUACGGAGGAUCCGAGCGUUAUCCGGAUUUAUUGGGUUUAAAGGGUGCGUAGGCGGUUUGAUAAGUUAGAGGUGAAAGCUCGAUGCUCAACAUCGAAAUUGCCUCUGAUACUGUCAGACUAGAGUGUAGUUGCGGAAGGCGGAAUGUGUGGUGUAGCGGUGAAAUGCUUAGAUAUCACACAGAACACCGAUUGCGAAGGCAGCUUUCCAAGCUAUUACUGACGCUGAGGCACGAAAGCGUGGGUAGCGAACAGGAUUAGAUACCCUGGUAGUCCACGCCGUAAACGAUGAAUACUAGGUGUCGGGGCCCAUAAGGGCUUCGGUGCCGCAGCAAACGCAAUAAGUAUUCCACCUGGGGAGUACGUUCGCAAGAAUGAAACUCAAAGGAAUUGACGGGGGCCCGCACAAGCGGAGGAACAUGUGGUUUAAUUCGAUGAUACGCGAGGAACCUUACCCGGGCUUGAAAGUUAGCGACGGAUCCUGAAAGGGGUCUUCUCUUCGGAGCGCGAAACUAGGUGCUGCAUGGUUGUCGUCAGCUCGUGCCGUGAGGUGUCGGGUUAAGUCCCAUAACGAGCGCAACCCCUACUGUUAGUUGCCAGCAUGUCAAGAUGGGCACUCUAGCAGGACUGCCGGUGUAAGCCGAGAGGAAGGUGGGGAUGACGUCAAAUCAGCACGGCCCUUACGUCCGGGGCGACACACGUGUUACAAUGGUCGGUACAGAGGGUAGCUACCUGGUGACAGGAUGCCAAUCUCGAAAGCCGAUCUCAGUUCGGAUUGGAGGCUGAAACUCGCCUCCAUGAAGUUGGAUUCGCUAGUAAUCGCGCAUCAGCCAUGGCGCGGUGAAUACGUUCCCGGGCCUUGUACACACCGCCCGUCAAGCCAUGGGAGUUGGGGGUGCCUGAAGUACGUGACCGCAAGGAGCGUCCUAGGGCAAAACCGAUGACUGGGGCU